CGGCGACUAAUCUGAGUGCCUAGUGGGCCAUUUUUGGUAAGCAGAACUGGCGCUGUGGGAUGAACCAAACGUCGAGUUAAGGGGCCCCAUUGAAUGCUCAUUCAGAUCCCAUCGAAAGGCGUUGGUUGCUAUAGACAGCAGGACGGUGGCCAUGGAAGUCGGAAUCCGCUAAGGAGUGUGUAACAACUCACCUGCCGAAGCAACUAGCCCUUAAAAUGGUAUGGCGCUGAAGCAUUCUCCCGAUACUCGACCGCCGGGGCGGUAGCGACCACGUCCCAGAGACGUGGUCACGAAUCCCCCCGGUGAGUAAGAGGGUCGCAGUGGUGAGCGCUGAAGGGAUCCGGCGUGAGCCGGCCUGGAGCCACCACUGGCGCAGAUCUUGGUGGUAGUAGCAAAUACUCGAGAGAGACUCCCUUGAAGACCGAUGUGGAGAAGGGUUCCAUGUGAACAUCAGUUGGACAUGGGUUAGUCGCUCCUAAGCCCAAGGCUAAGGCCUGAUCCCAUGCUAGCGGC
rnacentral:rRNA from 1 species